GUGGGGAAUAUUGGGCAAUGGGCGAAAGCCUGACCCAGCAACGCCGCGUGAAGGAAGAAGGUUUUCGGAUCGUAAACUUCUAUCCUUGGUGAAGAUAAUGACGGUAGCCAAGAAGGAAGCCCCGGCUAACUACGUGCCAGCAGCCGCGGUAAUACGUAGGGGGCAAGCGUUGUCCGGAAUGAUUGGGCGUAAAGGGCGCGUAGGCGGCCUGGUAAGUCUGGAGUGAAAGUCCUGCUUUUAAGGUGGGAAUUGCUUUGGAUACUGUCGGGCUUGAGUGCAGGAGAGGUAAGCGGAAUUCCCGGUGUAGCGGUGAAAUGCGUAGAGAUCGGGAGGAACACCAGUGGCGAAGGCGGCUUACUGGACUGUAACUGACGCUGAGGCGCGAAAGUGUGGGGAGCAAACAGGAUUAGAUACCCCAGUAGUCC
rnacentral:rRNA from 1 species